UAAAAAUAAUGCAUUUUUUUGUAUUUAUAGAGGUUUUUCCAUUUGGUUCGUGUAAGUAGAUGGAAAAGUCGGUGCGGCUAGUCGACUAGUGCGCACCAUGGCGGGGGAUAGCCGAAACUUGCUGCAGACUUUGCUUGAUCCAACCAAUAGACACCGUAAGGCCAUGUACUGUAACCUGUCAGGCUGUCAGCAGCAAAAGUGAAACCUGUUUGAUUUCUUAAGUGUUUAAAAUGACAAAAGCUUUUUGUUUGAUAUGUUCAACUUAUCGAAAAAAAAGAGAUCGCCGAAGUUUUUUCAAAGUGCCAGAAUGCAACAUUAACAGUAAUUCAAUUGAGAAAGAACUCAUUGAAAGAAGAAGAGCCGAGUGGUUGAAGUUGUCAAAAAGGAAUUAUAAUAUAUCCCAACUAUUUGUUUGCUCUGAUCAUUUUGUUUCAGGGGAACCUGCAUAUGUGUAUAAAACUGAAGACAUAGACUGGGUUCCUACAAUAACAAUAACAUUUUGGUUGUACGUACCCUGCAAUACAAUCACAAAAAGCAACAA